GUUAUAAUAGUUUAAUUUAGAAUAGUAAUUUGUGGUAUUAUAGGUGAAAUUUAUUUCUUUUAACC
rnacentral:tRNA from 2 species